GCAUGCGCGGAGCACGGACGGCGAUCGCGUCACGUGACACGGGUGUUUUCCCCCCUUCGCGGCCCGGCGCCAUGUUGACGGGCGGUGGAUGGGGCUGUGGGGCCGGGCCCUGCGGCAGCGUGAGGGGCGAGGAGCGUAGCCUCGCGUCCCGUGCGUCCAUGGGGGCUUGUGUUCCCUCCUUGGGUGUCCCUAACCCUGGGGGUGAGGGUGGGCCGAGGCCGCUGUGAUGGUGGCCAGGUGGCCCACAUUGGAGCUAGGCCCUGAGGUGUGCUCUGUGGGGAUGAAAGGUGCCGGAAUUAGCCAGGCCGGGUCCUGUGUGUUGAAGGAACUGGGGGGAGGGGGGUUGGGCUGAAGGUUGAGCUCAGGUCUUUUACAGUCUGAAUGAUUCUCUGUGUCGAUUCCCGUAGGAAAGGUAUAGGGCAGUGAUGGCCGCCUGAGGAGUGCGUCGAGGCAGUGCUGUUCUUCACGAGAUGCUGGUGAGGCAGGGGCAGCCCAACUGCCGCAGCUGUGCAGGCAGCAGCCUGGAGACUGCACCCUGCUGCUGGUCCUUACAUACCUGCUUCCCUAUGGGGUGCAGAUGUCACGGCCAGCCUGCCAGAAGUGAGCCUGUCACAGGGCCGCGUUCAGUGUUGUUGUUCUGAGCUGCCUUUCAUUCUCUCCCCAUCUCCCACCCCCAAACCAGGCAGCUCUGGGGACAAAACCCCUUUUUUCCUUCCCCUAGGUCUUGCACCUGUACCCCUCGCCACUAGAUGGCACCGUGUGACCGUAGUGUGGGGGUGCCAGGUGCCAUGGGGUGGCAUUUUGGGGGCAGAGCGGGUGCUCCCACUCCUGUAGAUGUGUGGUUCCAAUUUCCUCAGCUCUGCUGGGCUCUUUGGGAGCUCUUUUGAUAACGUUUAAACGUUUUUCCUUGCAGCAAGGGGUCCACCAAGCCCUGCAGCAGCUCCUGCCUCACCCAAGGUGACCAGGGGACAGAAAUAAAACAGUGAAAGGCACCAGCUAGAUCCCUUUGAAUGUCCUUGUAGCAUUACAGGCGCGUCAAUGCCGAUCAUGAGCCACUAUGGGACAAGCCGACCUCACACCCGCGCCAAGGUGCGUUGGAGGGAUGUGAGUCACCUGGGGCUGGCAGCUGGAGGAACAAAGGUGCUGUUCUGGGAGCUGCUCCUGGGGCGCUGGGAUUUAGGGCGUGCGGGGACCGCACCUGGGGAAGGGCAUGGGACACUGCGGCAAAAUAAAGGG